GAUGAAGAACGCAGCGAAAUGCGAUAAGUAAUGUGAAUUGCAGAAUUCAGUGAAUCAUCGAAUCUUUGAACGCACAUUGCGCCCCCUGGUAUUCCGGGGGGCAUGCCUGUUCGAGCGUCAUUUCACCACUCAAGCCUCGCUUGGUAUUGGGCAACGCGGUCCGCCGCGUGCCUCAAAUCGACCGGCUGGGUCUUCUGUCCCCUAAGCGUUGUGGAAACUAUUCGCUAAAGGGUGUUCGGGAGGCUACGCCGUAAAACAACCCCAUUUCUAAGGUUGACCUCGGAUCAGGUAGGGAUACCCGCUGAACUUAAGCAUAUCAAAAGCGGAGGA
rnacentral:misc_RNA from 1 species